AAGAAACCUUGGGAGGAGCAAUUCAGAGAGGGAUCCCCUCCUCCAGAGACGAUGUAGGACAGGACCGGGAGACUCGCGACCAGGUCCAGCGUUGGCCGACCGACGACCAGGCAGAUAGCCGGCAUCUUGAGAUCUAAGUGUCC